GGAGGGUGCAAGCGUUGUUCGGAAUUAUUGGGCGUAAAGAGCGUGUAGGCGGUUCGGUAAGUCAGAUGUGAAAGCCCUGGGCUCAACCCAGGAAGUGCAUUUGAAACUACGGGACUUGAGUACGGGAGAGGAGGGGGGAAUUCCCGGUGUAGAGGUGAAAUUCGUAGAUAUCGGGAGGAAUACCAGUGGCGAAGGCGCCCCUCUGGACCGAUACUGACGCUGAGACGCGAAAGCGUGGGGAGCAAACAGGAUUAGAUACCCUGGGUAGUCCACGCCGUAAACGAUGAGCACUAGGUGUAGCGGGUAUUGACCCCCUGCUGUGCCGUAGCUAACGCAUUAACGUGCUCCGCCUGGGGGACUACGGUCGCAAGCGUA
rnacentral:rRNA from 1 species